UACAGAGACUGCAAGCGUUAUUCGGAUUCACUGGGCGUAAAGGGUGCGCAGGCGGUUGGGUGUGUCAGAUGUGAAAUCCCGAGGCUUAACCUCGGAACUGCGUCUGAAACUACUCGACUAGAGUACUGGAGAGGGAAACGGAAUUCACGGUGUAGCAGUGAAAUGCGUAGAUAUCGGGAGGAACACCGGUGGCGAAGGCGGCGAUCUGGGUCGAUACUGACGCUGAGGUGCGAAAGCGUGGGGAGCAAACAGG
rnacentral:rRNA from 1 species